rnacentral:rRNA from 1 species
ACGGCUGAGGAUCACGUGGGAACAUGCCUCCUUGUGGGGGACAACAGCGCGAAAGCGGUGCUAAUCCCGCAUACGCUCGGCAACGAGGAAAGCGGUAACGCGCAGGGAGAGUGGCCCGCGGCCCAUCAGGUCGUAGGUGGGGUAACGGCCUACCUAGCCGAUGACGGGUAGCUGGUCUGUGAGGACAGACAGCCAGACUGGGACUGAGACACGGCCCAGACUCCUACGGGAGGCAGCAGCAAGGAAUUUUCGUCGAUGGGCGCAAGCCUGAACGAGCAACGCCGCGUGGAGGAUGACGGCCUUCGGGUUGUAAACUCCUUUUUCGGGGGACGAUGAUGACGGUACCCCGGGAAUAAGGCUCGGCUAACUCUGUGCCAGCAGCCGCGGUAAUACAGAGGAGCCAAGCGUUGUCCGGAUUGACUGGGCGUAAAGCGCACGCAGGCGGACGCGCGCGUGGGGUGUGAAAUCUGGCCGCUUAACGGCCAGGCGCCAUCCCAUACGGCGCGACUGGAGUGAUGCAGAGGUCGAUGGAAUUGCCGGUGUAGUGGUGAAAUGCGUAGA